rnacentral:rRNA from 1 species
UACGAAGGGGCUAGCGUUGUCCGGAAUUAUUGGGCGUAAAGAGCUCGUAGGUGGCUUGUCACGUCUGCUGUGAAAACUCGGGGCUCAACCCCGAGCCUGCAGUGGAUACGGGCUAGCUAGAGUGCGGUAGGGGAGACUGGAAUUCCUGGUGUAGCGGUGAAAUGCGCAGAUAUCAGGAGGAACACCGGUGGCGAAGGCAGGUCUCUGGGCAUUAACUGACGCUGAGGAGCGAAAGCAUGGGGAGCGAACAGG